GGCAACAUGGCCGAGUGGUCUAAGGCGCUGGAAUCAGGUGUGCUCCAUCCAGUCCGAAAGGGCGCGAGUUCGAAUCUCGCUGUUGUCA
rfam:Ceriporiopsis subvermispora B unplaced genomic scaffold CERSTscaffold_25, whole genome shotgun sequence.